rnacentral:pre_miRNA from 1 species
UUUUAAGCAUCGGUAACAAACAUAUUUUUUAAAAAUGUUUGGGACCUGUGUUUAAGUAA